GGAGUCGGCCAGGCGGCCGCGGCGGCCCGCUUGUCGGGUCGCCGAGGAAAGUCCGGACUCCAGAGGGCAGGACGCUGGGUAACACCCAGGCGCGGGCAACCGCGCGGGACAAGCCAACAGAGAGCAGACCGCCGAACGGCGCCCUCCGGGCGCGCGUGGCAAGGGUGAAAGGGUGCGGUAAGAGCGCACCGGCGCCGCUGGAGACAGCGGCGGCCAGGGAGCCCCGUCCGGAGCAAGGCCAAGCAGGCGCGAUACGAGGUGGCCCGCCCAGCGCCAGGUAGGCCGCACCGAGCCGGGACGGCAACGUCCCGGCCCAGAGAGAUGGCCGCCACCCGUCACCGCACGGGCACAGAAUCCGGCUUAUCGGCCGGCUCCCUCC
rnacentral:RNase_P_RNA from 1 species